UCAGACUUAACACAUGCAAGUCGAACGGGAUCUUCGGAUAUAGUGGCGGACGGGUGAGUAACGCGUGGGAACGUGCCCUUUGCUUCGGAAUAGCCCCGGGAAACUGGGAGUAAUCCCGGAUGAGCCUUACGGGGGAAAGAUUUAUCGGCAAAGGAUCGGCCCGCGUUGGAUUAGGUAGUUGGUGGGGUAAUGGCCUAUCAAGCCGACGAUCCAUAGUUGGUUUGAGAGGAUGAUCAGCCACACUGGGACUGAGACACGGCCCAGACUCCUACGGGAGGCAGCAGUGGGGAAUCUUAGAGGAUGGGCGCAAGCCUGAUCUAUCCAUGCCGCG
rnacentral:rRNA from 1 species